GGCGGCAUAGCUCAGUUGGUUAGAGCGACGGAAUCAUAAUCCGUAGGUCCCGGGUUCGAAUCCCAGUGCCGCUA
rnacentral:tRNA from 1 species